rnacentral:rRNA from 1 species
UACGUAGGGUGCAAGCGUUGUCCGGAAUUACUGGGCGUAAAGAGUUCGUAGGCGGUUUGUCGCGUCGUUUGUGAAAACCAGCAGCUCAACUGCUGGCUUGCAGGCGAUACGGGCAGACUUGAGUACUGCAGGGGAGACUGGAAUUCCUGGUGUAGCGGUGAAAUGCGCAGAUAUCAGGAGGAACACCGGUGGCGAAGGCAGGUCUCUGGGCAGUAACUGACGCUGAGGAACGAAAGCGUGGGUAGCUAACAGG